GAGAAAAAAAAAAAUCCCACCCUUUAAAAUUCAAUCCCCCAACUACAGACGCCUCUUCGCCUCCUUGCAAAUAGUCAAGGAUUAUAAAACCAGAUCUCCCGUAUUACCCCAUCAAACUCCCUAUUCUGCCUCUUCUUACCCAAAUCAUUCUCUGCACAACUUAUCAACUCUUCUUCCGUCAUCCCUCACCCUCCGACUUACACAACUCACCCCUCCCAGGUAUGCUUCUUUCCCAUUCUAAACCGCUUAGAGUUUAUUCUCUUUUCUACAUACCCCAUUUAUAUUCGGUUUAUGCCCUGUGCCGUUCCUUAGGAGUGCCUUCCUUUCCGAUUGCCCAAAAAACUCUGAAUGUGUUCCAUUUGCCAUGGCUUUCCUGGUUCUUAAUUGAAGAAUCACGAAAGUUUCAAUCAAACUGAUUCCACAACGACAUUUACUAACUUUUACGGAAGAAGCGCAAAAAUUUUUCGCUCUGGUUCUUGGGCAAGGGGACACAGAUCUGUUUCUCUCAAUGAAGGCCAUCUCAAUUUAAUUUCAGGCCUUUUAUUAAGGAAUAUGAAGCAAAGAAUAUAAUUUUGUGUUACUCUGAGGCUUUUAUUUAUCAAAUCAUAUCUUCUAUCGGGUGAGUAGCGUUGUAUCAGAUUAAUAUUGCUCCAGAACUCUAACUUUUGGUGAUAAUAUUGCUCCAGAACACUAAUUUUGGUGAUACUAUUUUAGUUUGUGAAUUUAUAUGAAACUUUGGCAGUGGUUCAGUUAAGGUUAAACGGAGGCAAAUAAGAGGCAAAGAGCAAUCACUUAGUGUCGUUAGUUCAACAUGAUUGUUGUAACGAAGACGGUAAGAAUCUCGCUCCUUCAUUGGAAGAUCCGGCUUAUGUGCUUGUUUCAUGCUUUAUGUAGAUUUAUCCAACCAAAACUGCAAACUUUUGAAGGGGCUCUACAUCUACAUAGCAGUUGGCAAGGCCAAGGUUUAGAGGUUCUAUUUGUUCACAAAUACAAUAGUGGGAUGGUUCUUGGUUCAGUGCUGCCUUAUUUCAUCCUCCUAUUUAAUGUUGGUUGCAGUCAUGAUCUAUAUCGAUCCAACAGUUAACUCAAGUGUAUACGGAGCUACAAAUUGAUCUGAAGUAUAUCGGUUUACUGAUAUUCUUAAUCAGAAUCUUGGGCAACUUAUAUCAUCAUUACCUCCUUUCCUAUCUCAGAGGUAGUAGAGAGAACGGCUAUGAAAUUCCCCAAGGUGGCCUUUCCAGUAUGGUCAUAAGCCAUCAUUUUAGUUUCAAAAUUCUUGACUGUUUAGGAAUUUCAUUCAUCACCCAGACACUGUUUUCGUCAAAAUUCUUGACUGUUUAGGAAUUUCAUUCAUCACCCAGACACCGUUUUCGUUUUGUUGUACUGUAGAUGUAGCUUUAUAUCUGAUGGGCAGGAGCUAUGUUAUUCAAGAUUUGAAAAUUUUGGUAAGAAUGUAGAGGCCUUGAUUCCUUUUGUUAUCCAUAAAAUACAUUUUGAAA